UACGGAGGGGGCUAGCGUUGUUCGGAAUUACUGGGCGUAAAGCGCACGCAGGCGGCUUUGUAAGUUAGAGGUGAAAGCCCAGGGCUUAACCCUGGAAUUGCCUUUAAGACUGCAUCGCUAGAAUCGUGGAGAGGUGAGUGGAAUUCCGAGUGUAGAGGUGAAAUUCGUAGAUAUUCGGAAGAACACCGGUGGCGAAGGCGGCUCACUGGCUCAGUA
rnacentral:rRNA from 1 species